rnacentral:lncRNA from 10 species
AAAGCAAGCUGCCUGAGUCAGCAGUGGUAACCUGCUGGGGUUCCCUUCCACAUUGUGGAGGCUUUGGUCUUUUGUUCUUUGCCGUAAAUCUUGCUACUGCUCACUCUUUGGGUCCACACUGCCUUUAUGAGCUGUAACACUCAGCGUGAAGGUCUGCAGCUUCACUCCUGAAGCCAUGGAGACCAGGAACCCACCAGGAGGAACGAACAACUCCACACGUGCUGCUUUAAGAGCUGUAACACUCACUGCGGAGGUCUGCAGCUUCACUCCUGAGCCAGUGAGACCACGAACCCACCAGAAGGAAAAAACUUCAAACAUAUCCGAACAGCAAAAGGAACAGACUCCGGACACGCCACCUUUAAGAACUGUAACACCCACUGCAAGGGUCUGCGGCUUCAUUCUUUAAGUCAGUGAGACCAAGAACCCGCCAAUUCCGGACCCAAGAUCACAAAUCUGAAACCAACCAGCAAUAUGACCCUUGGCAAUUUACCUAACACCCGCGAACCUCAGUUUCCUAACCUGCUCUGAUGUCAGCACAACCCAUUAUUUUGGAGAGUUCUUUCCGGCCUGAAAGUGAUGCUUAUUGCUUUAUUCACAAUCUACUGGCAAGAACUCAGCCACGAGGCCACACAUGAUCUCAAGGGAUGCCAAAAAAACAUAAAUUUAAAAAAUACAUCACAUGUAAUGAAAUGAAGCCUAGCCACCUGCCCAGGAAGAAGAGGAAAUGGGAUCAAUUAUCAUUCACCAGUGCCACACUGUCCAAGCUGGCUUCACAGAAGCCUCAGUUGAGUCAGUGCCAGCCCUACUCUCCUCCCUGGUACUUAAUGGUCUGUCAACAGCAGUGAUGCAGAAGCAAGGGUGCUGGAAUGGAGACAGGAGUCCUAGUGCUGACUGCCACUGGCUGUAUGACUCUGGGUAAGUCAUGUCGCUGUUCUCGACCUCAGUUUCUGCCUCAGUAGAAUGAGGGGUUGGACUAGCUCCGUCUACCAUUGCUCUCACAUUGAAUGAGAUUUUCACUAUGCUAGUUCCCUCAGUUGUACUUUUGUCUAGAACAGUUUUCAAAGUGUUUAAUCUUUCUUUCAAAAGACAGGUCACCUGGAACCCCAAUAUAUUAGUUAGAUAACAGGAGAGUUGCUUUGGCUGGAGGCAGGAGAGGAGCAGGGAUUCCACUCUCCUGUGGUGACCCCUAAAGUGUCUCUAUGGACCUUAGGACUCAUGGGCAAACUUGUAAAAGCAGUUGUCUAAACCACAACAGAUCCCAACCAAUGUGAAUACUCAGGUUACCUGAACAGCACAAGUAACCCCUGGAUUCAUUCUUUCAUUCCUUCCCCCACCAAAUCCUACUGAGUUCCUAUUUUGGCUUUUAUUUUAUUAUUUUUUAAAUUCAAACACCAACUCGAAGCAGAGAGUUCCUAUUUUGUGAGUAGGAAAGUGGAAUGUUAGGCAUGUGGUGUCAGAACUUGGUUUAAAUCUUGAAUCUGACACUUAAUAACGAAGGUCUCAAAUUCUGGACAAGUUUUUACUUCUUUCUAUCUCAGUUUUCUCAUCCAUGAAAAGAGGGAAAAUAUAUAUCUCAUUAUACGUAUUAUUCUAUCCCCUUCCUUGCAUUAUCUUUCUCCUUGGCACUAUCACCUUGAAUAUACCCUAUAAUUAACUUAUUAAUCUUGUUUAGUGUCUGUCUCCCCGACUAAUGUCAGCUCUAUGAGGCUGGUGACUUUUGUCUGUUCUGUUCAAUGAUGUAUCCCAGCACCUACUACCACGCCUGGCA